rnacentral:rRNA from 1 species
UACGUAGGGGGCAAGCGUUGUCCGGAUUUAUUGGGCGUAAAGAGCGUGUAGGCGGUUAGGUAGGUCCGUUGUGAAAACUCGAGGCUCAACCUCGAGACGCCGAUGGAAACCAUCUAACUAGAGUCCGGAAGAGGAGAGUGGAAUUCCUGGUGUAGCGGUGAAAUGCGCAGAUAUCGGGAAGAACACCCGUGGCGAAGGCGGUUCUCUGGGACGGUACUGACGCUGAGACGCGAAAGCGUGGGGAGCGAACAGG